GCCUUAACCUCAAACACGCUGCGACAUCCACUAAACAUCUGUCAUACGGCUAAAGUUACCUGUAACACGCAUCUGAGCGCAAAAGUUAAAAAUUCACCGUCCUCGACAAGAAGACGAUCCAAAAUGAGACACAAAAUCAGCUCAUAAAAAGACGCUUUCAAACAGAAACGGGCAAAAAAUGAAGAGAUGUUCGGAGAGGUUUCAGGCAUGUGUGUGUGUGACAAUAGAGGAGAUAUGUUCUGAUUUUACACUAAUCUGUGUAUACACUGCGAGACAAUGACAUCUUAGCGAGUGAAAAUAUCUUGAAUAUAGUCUAAAGUAUUUAGUAUUUCCUAUUUAAAAAAAAAAAAAGAUUAUUAAAGCUAUUUCCAGCCCGUUUUGCACAUUGCAAGCUUUAACUUGUCUUUAACUAUUGGCAGACGGUUGGGAUUCUUUCCAGAAAUAAAAUGCUUAAAAUAAGCAAAAUGAUCUGCCUGAAAUUAGUAAAAAAAAUAAUAAUAAAAAAAAAAUAAAAAAAAAUAAAAUAAAUAAAUAAAUAAAUAAAAAGAGUAAAAAUAGCUUUAAUAAAUCAGAGUAUAUUCGAGAUAUUUUCAAGAAGCGAUGAUACGUGUGCUAACCCCGCCCCCUAACCGGACCCUUCGCAAGAUUACGUACGGAUUACGAUUACGAGUCGUUACGACGUUAUAAAUCGUUGAUUUAGCGCGUAAAAUAAAACGCCAUCGUAAACCUCUUACUGAUCAGUCUGGUUAAAAAAAAAAAAAAAUUUACUCAAGUUUAUAUGUACAGUGAACAUUUACGCAUAACAAAUAACAACGAUAUUAUUAUUAUUAUUAUUAAUAAUAAUAAUAAUUAUUAUUAUUAUUAUUAUAAUACAAAUGUAGAAAACAAGAGCGUUCGUACUGAAACAGCCCUCGGAACUGAUCUCGAGGGUUAAAUUUGUGGAAACGCUCAGGCUUUUUGUUUAUAACUACAUAAAAAAGAAAGAAAGAAAGAAAGAAAAAAAGAAAGAAAGAAAGAAAGAAAGAAAGGGACGUGAAAGAGAAUUGGCUUAUAUACGGAAAAAACGCUUUAAAAAAAAAAAAAAAAAAAAGGAUCGUUAGUUAUAAUGUGAUGAGACGUGCAGUUAUUUAACCGACACAUAAUUAAUCCAGGCUGAGUCAGCAAUCUGUGGAAGGACAAGUGUGUGUGUGUCUAAUUACAGCAGGGUGCACACACACACACACACACACACACACACACACACACACA